AGGUAGAAAGUGCUUGGAAGAACGAUAGGAAUGUAGGAGGAAAAGGAAUAGGUACUAAUUCUGGAAGUUUAUACGGACGACGGGCGCCGAGUUGGGGAAAGGAUGAACAUACGUAGAUAAACAAUUUGUACUCUCCUGAAUUAUGGAUCGCAAGAAUUUUCCCGCUAUACGAGCUCCAGGAACUAUAAUAUAUCCGGCUCGAAAGGCCAAGUGAUGUGGUGGGCAGGUUUCCUGGUGAUCCAAUGAGUACGUACUUUCGAUCUAUUGUCGCGUGUGCCUAUGCAUUGUAUGUUGGGGAUGUGUUUUCAUACACCUAUUUGGCGCAGUCGAUAUUUAAUGCACUAGAAGUUAUGUUUUAUAAGAAUGCCCACAA